UACGUAGGUGGCAAGCGUUGUCCGGAUUUACUGGGUGUAAAGGGAGCGUAGACGGCCAUGCAAGCCUGGAGUGAAAGCCCGGGGCCCAACCCCGGGACUGCUCUGGGAACUGUGCGGCUGGAGUGCGGGAGGGGCAGGCGGAAUUCCUGGUGUAGCGGUGAAAUGCGUAGAUAUCAGGAGGAACACCGGCGGCGAAGGCGGCCUGCUGGACCGCGACUGACGUUGAGGCUUGAAAGCGUGGGGAGCAAACAGG
rnacentral:rRNA from 1 species